ACUUAAUCUUUUAUUUUGAGAAAAUGGAAUGUAUGAAGCAUAGUGCAUGCAUCAUGAAUGUGAUGAUUUAUAUUAGGGUAAGUUGCAUUAGAAUCACGAAGUUGUUGCAUUGCCUUAUUCAGUGAUAGUGGGAAUUGGACCAAGGCGACAUCAAUAGCCCUUAGAGGGAGUUUUGAGGUCAUGUCUAAUUCCAGAUGAUUGGACCCAGGCGACAUCAAUAGCCCGUCGAGGGAGUUUUGAAGUCAUGUCCAAUGAAUGAUGUGGAAUGUAUGAGUUGUGUUGCAUUUUCAUACAAGAUGUGUAUGACUGAACUAUUUUCAGUGUUUCUACUCACUGGGCUUUAGAAGCUCAUCCCUUUCCCUUAAUCCCAGUUUUGCAGGUUCAGUAUAGCAGGGAAAGUCAGCAACAGCAGAGUGGUGACUAGAAGACUGCAUGUGUAAUAGCCUAGUAUGGACAUGAUGUAAAUCAAAGAAAUAUAUGUAAAGGCAUGUAAUAGCUAGUAAGUCAGUAUGAUAUGGUUUAGAAUGUGCUUUGCCUAGUGUUUGCUUAUCCCUUGUAUAUGCAUGUAUCCUGUUUUCAGUUUCUUGAUAAGAAAUGUGUCAAAACAGACUUAAUCAAUGUUGUGUUUCGAAAACCCAGUGAAGGAUAACUGUGAGGGAAGAUAGGGUUUCAUUCCCUUGACCCAAGACCAGUGCAAAGGAAAGACCAGGUUUGAUUCCUGUGAUCCACAGAGUAGACCACUAGAGAAAACCAGGUUUGGUUCCUGUGACUCUAUGGUAGCCAAGUUAACUUAUGAUAUGCUGACCCUUACAGAGUGGGUUCUAUGCUGCAGAGCGCAUAGGGUAUGGAGGUUACUUGGUAAAGCAUCACUGGUGUAUGAUAGAUAGCCCGAGGGCUAGUUCAGAUUGGUAUAUCUGAGCAUUUUGGUUCAUAUGAUUGGACCUACAGAGAGUGUUUUGAAAGGUUAAGUCUGGUUGUUUAAAAGCAAAGUUUUAACAGUUAAUAGUCCAGUCGGAUCAUGUAUGGGAUUUUAACAGGUACACAGAGUUCAGGAUAGGCUUACUACGGGUCUAGGCGGCCUUAAGCCGAUCUGGAUCCUAGUGCCGAGCGGUUCGGACCGUUACAAAGAGGGUACCGGUUUCCGGGCUGUUACAGUUGGUAUCAGAGCAUAGGGCCUCAUAAGUACGGUGUGUUGAGCAUUGUUGUUCAAGGAUUAUAGAUAUCUCACAUCGGAAAGAGGUUGGUCUAGAGGUUAUAGAAAGGCAAAGCACAAUAAGUUAAAUCAUGUCCACUAAGAUAGGCAGUUUGUUUUGCAUGCUGAUGUGAAAUGCCAUGCUGGAUGCUAUGGAUGUAUAUGUUCUAUGUUCAUGUGUCUUCAUAUGAACUAUAUGUGUGCUACUGUUUGCUUAUUUGUGUUUUGUGUUUUCAGAGCUAAGAUGAGUGGAAUUAGUCCUCAGAGUGAUUCAGAUCCGUCGGAAGGGUCCUUUGAUGAUAGUAGAGGAAUGAAUCUAGAAUCAGAAAACAGGAGAGAGCUAAAAGUGGAUGUGCAAAGAAGGGAUGUAGGUGUACAGGUGAAUUUAGAUGAAGAGACUUUAGAGGAUACUCAGACCAAGGAUUCUAGGAUAGGAGAGAAUGAAUCCUCCACCUGGAGUACAGCUACCUGGAAAGGAGCAAAGUGGGGGAAAGCUAUAAAGAAAAAGGUUAGGGGCCUUAAAGGGUCAAAGAAGAAGACAAUAGGGACUAGUGGUGUUGGUCCAAGUUCUGGUAUAGGCAAGCCACAAUGUUUGAGGUGUGGUAGAUUGCAUGAGGGAAUCUGUCUGGCAGGAACAAUAGGAUGUUAUCGGUGUGGACAGAAGGGGCAUGUGAUUCGUGAGUGUCGUGUGAUGCCUUGGAUGGUUCGGUCCCAGCGGACUUUUUCAGGUAGAAAGGUUCAGCAGGGAAUAGCACCCUCAGGUCCAGUGGUGCCAGGUAUGCUUGUGAGUUUUGAUGUAUAUGUUUGUUUUUGUGGAUCCUAGUAGGAUUGAAAGUAAUAGAACGGAAUAGAAUUACAUGUUCACAGUAACAGGUAAAGAGAUGGAGAGUUAGAGAAAAGUUAAUAGCUAAGAGUUAAAGAAAUAGAGUAUCAGAAAAGAGUUAAAGAGAGAGAAUGGGUAUAAGAGGCUAUGUUUCAGGUUUCUCUAAUCCCAGGCAUAGUGAGAAUGGUUCUCUCAAGUAAGAAGUAAAGGUAAGUAAGAUAAAAGCAGAAAGAAAAGUGGGAUAGAUCAGAAAAAGAGGAAAACAAAAAAAAAAAAAAACCAAAAAGGUAAGGAAAAAAAAAAAGGUUUAGAGUAGUCUGGGAAUAGGUGGUAGUUGAGGCAGAGGAAAAGGUCAGUCUUUUCUUCAGUGGAUUCCCGAGAGAAGUUCCAUUUGCUUUAGCUUGGAUCUUCACCCUGACUCAGUAAGAGGCUGUGACAUCACACACGGUGACGUCAGGUGCGUUCACGUGAAAGUAUUGAGAUGUGUCUGCUAGUUGUUUUGAACCCCAGUGUCUUCGCUUUUCUUGUUGCUUAGUGAGCCGAUGACAGCAUGGGUUUGGUGACUUCUGGGCUUAGAGUGGUUUUCUUGGGUCAAUGGACCUGAGUGUGAUCCAUCUGAGGUAAAGUCAGUCAGUUCAGUUCAGAGUUUGUGGUGAGUAGAUGCAAUCCAGCUGACCUUAUGGUUCUAGAGGUGACUAUAUGACGUCCUUCUAGGGCGGAUUGAUGCAUUACUCAUGGUACUACCUGUGUCCAUAGAGACAAGGUGGGGAAAUUGGAUGGGUCAGGCAGUCCUUUAGGGGGACAGAGUAUAGGUGCCUAGCAGUUGAUAUCAGUCCUACAGGCUCAUCGUUAUACAGGAAAGGUUGUCAGUGGGUUCUCUUAGCUCUUGUGAGCAAGUUUGUCAGGACAGGGAAUCAGCCUCAGUGCCCUUUUCUAGUGAGUACUAGAUGUUUCCCAGGUAGGCUGUCAGGUUUACCAUCUGUUAGGGAGGUCGGAGUGGAAUGAGAAUGGUAUCUGGACGCGGAACCAUUGCUUCCUCUCUUUCCUCUACAGAAUGGCACCUGUAGAGAGAAAGCUAAGAAUAGUCAGGAUAGUGGAAAAGAGGCUUGGUAGUUAAGGGUUUUAUCUGACUUAGUACCUCACCCUCGUAUAUGCACAAGUUGGUGUGGGAAACGAACGAUGAAUCCUUAAGGUUUUGCUCUGAUAGGUUCAUAGAUCAGUGAGUUUUCCUUGUUAGGAUUGAUGAUCUUUAGCGGCUCUGAUAAAAGUUGUUUAUGGUUUUGGUGUGAUCAAAGUUUUGAAUGCUACCAGGUGAAGUUGGGAAGUAAAGGUUAGAAAAGAGGUUGGUUAAGAAAAGAUAAAGAGAAAAAGGAAUAAGGAUCAGCAUAGCGCAGCGAAAGCUGUAGAGGUCCGAAAAAGGAUUUUGCAGUAUGGACUCAACUCAGGAAAAUAAAGAUUCAGGAAUUCUCUCUUUCGAGAGAAGUAGUAGGCUUUAUAUGUUUAUCUGUUUGUUUUUAACAUUCGAGGACGAAUGUUUUAUAAGGGGGGAAGAAUGUAAUACCCGGCUAGUUCAGGCAUCAGAAUUCUUACCAUCCGGUGGAAUUCCGGAAUGUCAAAGGUUCUAGAAGGGUAAGAGUGAAGGUUUUCUAAAAGGGUUUUAAGUGGUUCAAAGGUUUGAUUCAGAAAAGAGUUAAGUUUUGAGGAGAAGUGGCCUAAGGAGUUUCUGUCAUGUUCGGCCCCCGAAUGGUAAGUUCGGCCGCCGAAAGUGCCCAAUGUUCGGCCCCCGAAGGUUAUGUUCGGCCCCCGAAAGUUGCAUGGUUUUGCAUGCAGUUUCGCUAGCCGAAGCUGAGGUGGUCGGUUAGUUGUGCACACUCCUCAGUCCGUGGUUUGGCCAGGUGUUUACCUCCAGAUCAUGACCAGAGGUUUGGCCACGUCUCCCUUGACUCAUCUGCACGCUUUAAUCAGCUUAUGCAGAGGGUUGGUCUUUUGCAAAGGGGUUGAACGUUUGUGAGAGAAAAGAAGAGUUGUGAAGGUUUGAAGCUUUGGAGGAGGAGUUGCUGAGUUGGCUGUUCCUCUUCUGUUUUCAAGAGGUAAGGGAAGUCUUUAAACUUGUUUUAAUGAUUUAUAACAGCUUUCAAAGAGGUUAAGGGGAGAGUUAUGUAUAUAAGGUUAGUUUUGAUGUUUUAAUGAUGUAAGUAUGUAUAUGUGUUAUAGUUGUUGUUUUGUGGGGUUAGUAGGUAGUUUUGGACCCCUUGGUUCAUAUACCUGAGUAUAUGUGAGUGAAGGAGGAGGUAUGCAUGUAUGGAGUGGGGUUGGUGCUUGGCAGGCUUGUUCAUGCACGAAGCUGAGUUCUGGAUGAACUCAGGUUCGGCCGCCGAAGGGAGGAUUCGGCCGCCGAACCCCUUGUGGAGGCAGUUUCGGCUGCCUAAGGUUGCUUCCGAAAGAAUGGACUUUCGGCUCUGUCAUGCACAUUCGGCCGCCGAAGGUGCCGCCGAAGGUGCUCUGUCCAGCCUUCUUUUGCAUGUUUAUGUGAUUGUUUUCAGAGGUUCAGAGGGGAUUAUAGGGGAUUGUUUAAGAGUUGAUAAGAGUAUGUUUGACACCUCAUUCGAGUCCAUUUGUGUAGGCUUGGACCCGACAGUUCAGGGAGGUCGUCAGGAUUAGCAGUUGCAGCGUCAGUCAGGUUUCUGCUUGAGGAGCAGAGGUGAGUAGAACUAAACUUAAUCUUUUAUUUUGAGAAAAUGGAAUGUAUGAAGCAUAGUGCAUGCAUCAUGAAUGUGAUGAUUUAUAUUAGGGUAAGUUGCAUUAGAAUCACGAAGUUGUUGCAUUGCCUUAUUCAGUGAUAGUGGGAAUUGGACCAAGGCGACAUCAAUAGCCCUUAGAGGGAGUUUUGAGGUCAUGUCUAAUUCCAGAUGAUUGGACCCAGGCGACAUCAAUAGCCCGUCGAGGGAGUUUUG
rnacentral:lncRNA from 1 species